GGAUGGUUGACCUCGGAGAAGAUCACCAGCUUAUGUGCAACUACUACACCUUGAGACAAGAUGGCUCCCCCACAUACAUCAGAUCAUGGGCUUUCCAGGGAUCAAUGGAUGGCGCGAACUGGACCAACUUAAGAGAGCACAAUAAUGACCAUACAAUCUGCAAGCCCGGCCAGUUCGCAUCAUGGCCUGUGCUCGGCUCCACAGCUCUGCUUCCUUUCAGGUUCUUUCGAGUUGUUUUGACAGGUCCCGCCG
rnacentral:misc_RNA from 1 species